UACGGAGGAUGCGAGCGUUAUCCGGAAUGAUUGGGCGUAAAGCGUCCGCAGGUGGCAAUGUAAGUCUGCUGUCAAAGCGUCUGGCUCAACCAGAUAAAGGCAGUGGAAACUACAUAGCUAGAGUAAGGUAGGGGUAGAGGGAAUUCCCGGUGUAGCGGUGAAAUGCGUAGAGAUCGGGAAGAACACCGGUGGCGAAAGCGCUCUACUGGACCUCAACUGACACUGAGGGACGAAAGCUAGGGGAGCGAAAGGG
rnacentral:rRNA from 1 species